GGGCAUUUGGCACAGUGGUAGCGCGCACGCUUCGCAAGAUCCGGUGUUACAACUUGGGCUUACAUAUGCGUGAGGUCGAGAGUUCAAUCCUCUCAAUGUCCA
rnacentral:tRNA from 1 species